UGACCUCCUAGGGAAGAAAAGGAAACCACCGGUUAAUUCUGCUGGCUUGUGGCUACCUCCCAGGCUGCUUAUCUCUCUGGAGUCAACAUUGAUACUAGGGCACCUCCUUCCUGAAGCCUUCCAUGACCCCACGACCCACACACACUCCUCAUAAGAACACAACAUUUGAUCGGACCCAUGAGCUAAAACUUGGUGGAUUGUGUCCAACCAAAGCCAAUUGGUCCGAGAUGAUUAUUUUGUUCUUUGACUUACAAACUUCUUCAUGGCUUCUCAUGAUGGAUGUUUGAGGUCCACCUUGGACAUUUAUGAUCCUCUUUCUCUUAUCGGUUAUGAAAUUGUGAUCAGUAAAUUCACUUAGCCUUGACCUAUAUAUGCCUUCCAACGCACACCAUCAGUCCACCGAGAAGGGCUUAAUGAGUGUCACGAGGUACUCAGCCUGAGGGUGGGGCCAAGGAGCCAGGUGCAUUAUCUGAUUACCCCAGCAUGCUUGUGGAAUUGCUCUCAUGUUCUGGAUACAUUUUUGCAGAGUCUGCUUGGACUCAGUUCCCCUGCAAGCCUGGGAACUUCUUGAAGGAAAGGUUUCGCUUUCAGAUUUCCUUAUCAACCAGGCCGACAGGCUAAAUGAGUUUCUGUUAACUAACUCAGAGACUGCAGUUUGUAUCUGGAGAAGGCUAUCCCUGGAUGGCCACGGCAGAGAAAUCAUUCUUUCUCAAAGUGUAGUCCAUGGCCUAAUUGCAUCAAAUCACUUGGGCUCUUCGUUUAGAACGGGCAAAUAUUCCUGGGUCUCAACCCAAUUCCACAAGCCAGAAUUUGAGGCAGUGAGUGGGACUUUGGGAUCUGCAUUCUAAUCAGCUGCCCCUGCCCCUCACUCCCGGCUCCCAUCAGAUUCAUGUAUGAUCAGAUGGGGGAACCAUAGCCUAGGAAAUGGAGGAGAAAAAAAAAAACAGCCAGAGGCCUUUAAGUUAAACAGCAAGGACUUCCAGUUGGGGGGCGGGGGGGGGUGGUGGUUCAUGGUGGGAAGUAAAGCCCAGGAUGCUGGUGUCCUCUCUGGAGCUUUCUCAGCUCCCGCAGGGCUGGCCAUCAUCAGCCGGCCACCUGCCCCGUACUCACAUCAGUAAUCUGGCUCCAGUCCCUGGAGUUUCCAAGCUCCGCCUUCAGGUCCUCAUAGGAUUUGGCGUUCUGCACAGAAAGUAAAUAACAAGUUAGACCCGGUUCUCAGCAGAGGAGAUGGGAGAACUUUUUCCUUCAGGAGUUGAAAGAAGAAAACCUUCCAUUUUGAGGACCUGCCGUCUGCUUCUAUGUGCGACCAGUUCCGGAGAAUCCUGUGGAAGUCUGACUCCCUGUCCCUCAGGUGCCUGGCACUGAGCUUGCCUUCAGCAACUAUGGUCUGGUGAGAGACUGAAGCCGUCUGGUUUCCAGAGAGACUCGACCCCAUUCCAAAGGAGAGACAGGUGCUUCUCAGCUCCCCUUUUGUGACAGCUCCGAAGUUUACCCGUGUGCCCUCAUGUCCCCACCCCAGUCAGGAGCCCAGAGCCAGGGUAAAAGCGCGCACGGCAGAGGCGUGUCUGGGAAGGGGGACGGGAGGCAGGCGCAGACACUCUUCCAGCCCCACCCUGCCUCGGGCGGACCCUCACCCACGGAGCCCACAUUGUGGAUUUUGCCCAGGCCUGACGUCUGAUUAGGUAGCGUCCACUUCUGGAAGAGCUGCUGAAAGACAGCUGACUCGGCCCCAUCGUUCUGCACCUCCACCUGUGUGUUCGGGGGGUACUGCUUCGCUUUGAUAAAGUUCUGGGAAGAGAAAGCGG